rnacentral:rRNA from 1 species
GGGUUGUGAGGUUAAGCGACUAAGCGUACACGGUGGAUGCCCUGGCAGUCAGAGGCGAUGAAGGGCGUGCUAAUCUGCGAUAAGCGCCGGUAAGGUGAUAUGAACCGUUAUAACCGGCGAUACCCGAAUGGGGAAACCCAGUGUGAUUCGUCACACUAUCAUUAACUGAAUCCAUAGGUUAAUGAGGCGAACCGGGGGAACUGAAACAUCUAAGUACCCCGAGGAAAAGAAAUCAACCGAGAUUCCCCCAGUAGCGGCGAGCGAACGGGGAGGAGCCCAGAGCCUGAAUCAGCAUGUGUGUUAGUGGAAGCGUCUGGAAAGGCGCGCGAUACAGGGUGACAGCCCCGUACACAAAAGCGCAUGUGCUGUGAGCUCGAUGAGUAGGGCGGGACACGUGGUAUCCUGUCUGAAUAUGGGGGGACCAUCCUCCAAGGCUAAAUACUCCUGACUGACCGAUAGUGAACCAGUACCGUGAGGGAAAGGCGAAAAGAACCCCGGCGAGGGGAGUGAAAAAGAACCUGAAACCGUGUACGUACAAGCAGUGGGAGCACAGGUUUACCUGUGUGACUGCGUACCUUUUGUAUAAUGGGUCAGCGACUUAUAUUCUGUAGCAAGGUUAACCGUAUAGGGGAGCCGUAGGGAAACCGAGUCUUAACCGGGCGUUAAGUUGCAGGGUAUAGACCCGAAACCCGGUGAUCUAGCCAUGGGCAGGUUGAAGGUUGGGUAACACUAACUGGAGGACCGAACCGACUAAUGUUGAAAAAUUAGCGGAUGACCUGUGGCUGGGGGUGAAAGGCCAAUCAAACCGGGAGAUAGCUGGUUCUCCCCGAAAGCUAUUUAGGUAGCGCCUCGUGAAUUCAUCUCCGGGGGUAGAGCACUGUUUCGGCUAGGGGGCCAUCCCGGCUUACCAACCCGAUGCAAACUGCGAAUACCGGAGAAUGUUAUCACGGGAGACACACGGCGGGUGCUAACGUCCGUCGUGAAGAGGGAAACAACCCAGACCGCCAGCUAAGGUCCCAAAGUCAUGGUUAAGUGGGAAACGAUGUGGGAAGGCCCAGACAGCCAGGAUGUUGGCUUAGAAGCAGCCAUCAUUUAAAGAAAGCGUAAUAGCUCACUGGUCGAGUCGGCCUGCGCGGAAGAUGUAACGGGGCUAAACCAUGCACCGAAGCUGCGGCAGCGAACGUAUCACUUAAAGCGAUUCAGCGGGUUACGAUUGACGGAGCGAAGCGACGUCAAAGCGUAUACAAAGUCGAGUCGGUUUAAGGAUACGUUCGUUGGGUAGGGGAGCGUUCUGUAAGCCUGCGAAGGUGGCCUGUGAGGGUUGCUGGAGGUAUCAGAAGUGCGAAUGCUGACAUAAGUAACGAUAAAGCGGGUGAAAAGCCCGCUCGCCGGAAGACCAAGGGUUCCUGUCCAACGUUAAUCGGGGCAGGGUGAGUCGACCCCUAAGGCGAGGCCGAAAGGCGUAGUCGAUGGGAAACGGGUUAAUAUUCCCGUACUUGGUGUUACUGCGAAGGGGGGACGGAGAAGGCUAUGUUGGCCGGGCGACGGUUGUCCCGGUUUAAGCGUGUAGGUGUGUGUUCCAGGUAAAUCCGGUUCACUUUAACACUGAGGCGUGAUGACGAGGCACUACGGUGCUGAAGCAACAAAUGCCCUGCUUCCAGGAAAAGCCUCUAAGCAUCAGGUAACAUCAAAUCGUACCCCAAACCGACACAGGUGGUCAGGUAGAGAAUACCAAGGCGCUUGAGAGAACUCGGGUGAAGGAACUAGGCAAAAUGGUGCCGUAACUUCGGGAGAAGGCACGCUGACACGUAGGUGAAGUGAUUUACUCAUGGAGCUGAAGUCAGUCGAAGAUACCAGCUGGCUGCAACUGUUUAUUAAAAACACAGCACUGUGCAAACACGAAAGUGGACGUAUACGGUGUGACGCCUGCCCGGUGCCGGAAGGUUAAUUGAUGGGGUCAGCGCAAGCGAAGCUCCUGAUCGAAGCCCCGGUAAACGGCGGCCGUAACUAUAACGGUCCUAAGGUAGCGAAAUUCCUUGUCGGGUAAGUUCCGACCUGCACGAAUGGCGUAAUGAUGGCCAGGCUGUCUCCACCCGAGACUCAGUGAAAUUGAACUCGCUGUGAAGAUGCAGUGUACCCGCGGCAAGACGGAAAGACCCCGUGAACCUUUACUAUAGCUUGACACUGAACAUUGAGCCUUGAUGUGUAGGAUAGGUGGGAGGCUUUGAAGCGUGGACGCCAGUCUGCGUGGAGCCGACCUUGAAAUACCACCCUUUAAUGUUUGAUGUUCUAACGUGGACCCGUAAUCCGGGUUGCGGACAGUGUCUGGUGGGUAGUUUGACUGGGGCGGUCUCCUCCUAAAGAGUAACGGAGGAGCACGAAGGUUGGCUAAUCCUGGUCGGACAUCAGGAGGUUAGUGCAAUGGCAUAAGCCAGCUUGACUGCGAGCGUGACGGCGCGAGCAGGUGCGAAAGCAGGUCAUAGUGAUCCGGUGGUUCUGAAUGGAAGGGCCAUCGCUCAACGGAUAAAAGGUACUCCGGGGAUAACAGGCUGAUACCGCCCAAGAGUUCAUAUCGACGGCGGUGUUUGGCACCUCGAUGUCGGCUCAUCACAUCCUGGGGCUGAAGUAGGUCCCAAGGGUAUGGCUGUUCGCCAUUUAAAGUGGUACGCGAGCUGGGUUUAGAACGUCGUGAGACAGUUCGGUCCCUAUCUGCCGUGGGCGCUGGAGAACUGAGGGGGGCUGCUCCUAGUACGAGAGGACCGGAGUGGACGCAUCACUGGUGUUCGGGUUGUCAUGCCAAUGGCACUGCCCGGUAGCUAAAUGCGGAAGAGAUAAGUGCUGAAAGCAUCUAAGCACGAAACUUGCCCCGAGAUGAGUUCUCCCUGAGACUUAGAGUCUCCUGAAGGAACGUUGAAGACGACGACGUUGAUAGGCCGGGUGUGUAAGCGCAGCGAUGCGUUGAGCUAACCGGUACUAAUGAACCGUGAGGCUUAACCUUACAACGCCGAAG